ACCCUUACUUCAUGGACAUCAAAUGUUCAGGAUGCUACAAGAUCAAUACCGCGUUCAGCCAUGCCCAGACCGUGGUGCAGUGCGUCGCUUGCAGCACAGUUC